rnacentral:misc_RNA from 1 species
AAGAAAACUUCUAAAUCUCCUAAACAGACUCCUAUAACCGAAGAGAACCUGCCUGAGAACCAGAGAACUAUCAACCUGGUUUUGAGGAUGCGAAACCAGAAGAGAGAACUCAAUGAUAUCAGAUUUGAGUUCCAACCAACCAAAGAUUCUGCUGAGGGUAUAGCCAAUGAAUUAUUAUCUGCUGGACUUAUUAUGGGAGAUGAUCUAGUUGCUAUGGCAGCUAACCUGGAUAAGCUGGUGACCGCUCCCCCUGUCAACAAGAAUGUCACCUUCAGGAUCUCGGCCGGGAUAAAUUCGUCUGAAACGCCGGACGAAAAGGCCUUGUUAGGUUUUGCCCAAUUGAGUAUAUCUGAUUGAUUUGCCAUAUCGGUGAGAACGAUUGAUUUGACCGUGAUCAAUUAGAACACAAGAGAUUAGAAGAAAUAUCCGAUUUGAAAACUAGUGGACUACUUUCCUAGGUUUUUUUUUUUGGCUGGGGUUUUGAUGCUUUCAGGAGGCUCAAAAAAAUGAAUUGUAACAUAUUUAAAAAUUUUAUUAAAAGUUUGUGCGUAAGAUAUAGAUAAAGAUGAGGAAAUUCAAGCCAAUUUAAAAAAUAAUAUCACAAAGGGUUUGAAAGAAAGAUGCCAUCUCACUACCACCAUUUACAAAUAUUAGCACUAUUCCCUUAUUAUAUACAUUUAAUAUGUAAUAAAUAAAUGUAAUUUCUUUAUUAUCAUUGUUAACUCGGUCAUAGAAAAACCCUAUUUCUUGUUGAGAGUUAAGAUGUUGGAAUAAUUAGCUUGGUCCAAUAGAAAGCCUUCAUUUUAUGGUCAAAGUCAACAAACCUUCUUUUUUUAUGUUAUUAUAUUUUUGUUUAUUGAUUGUUGAUUUUAUAUAAACCUAAUUUCAACGAUAAUCUUGUUAUUUUCUCCCAAUUUCAAUAAAAACAAAUUAAAUUUUUAGAUAUAUAUAAAAUGUGAUAAGCCAUUAUUAAAAUUGUCAAAUUAAAUUUUUACAUUUUUUUAAACACAAAAUUAUAGAAUUGGUUUUCAUUGUUUACAUUUUCUUGAUGCAAAAUACCCUUGAGAUGCAAUGGAGAGGGGGGAGGGAUCUGCUUUCAACUGAACACUGAACAGUAUUUUUCAAGGCACAGUAUGUUUACUUGUGUACAGUACAUGGUUUUUUAAUUUUGUACAUCAAUCUUGUACACUGUACACUGUACAAUGUACAUAAAUCAUCACUUAGGUUUCAUCAUUUGACCCGGAUCUUGAUUUUUGUCAACUAAUUUGUGAGAAUUAGAAGUAAAUAUAUCCCUCAAGCCUUUUAA